UGCCAGAAAAGUGGCCUAUACUGCGCAUUGGCAGCAAUCUGCGACCAGAUCAAGGUGGAGCAUGAGCUGGACGUUUUUCACAUCGUCCGCAACGUGCGCCGCAGCCACCCUCAAUUCAUCAUCAACUUGGAGCAAUAUGCGUUUUGCUACGACCUGGCUCUCAGCUUCGUCAACACGUUCGACUCCUACUGCAACUUCCAGUAAAAAAGGAAAGCGUUUCACGGGAUGCUAGUUGUCAUUUUCUACGUCUUAAUGGCCAGGCAAAGGCUAUUUUUGCCUGCUGACAGUGAUUCAGCAGAAUAAAAACGUGUAUUUAAAAUAA